CUAUACAUGACUCUGCGCAUAUCAAUAAGCGGAGGAAAAGAAACUAACAAGGAUUCCCCUAGUAACGGCGAGUGAAGCGGGAAGAGCUCAAAUUUGAAAUCUUAAAGGGUUUCCCUUUACGAAUUGUAGUUUAAAGAAGUGUUUUCUGUUGAGGUUUUGGUAAAAGUUCUUUGGAAUAGGACAUCAUAGAGGGUGAGAAUCCCGUAUUUGACCUUUACUUUCAACUUUGUGAUACACUUUCAAAGAGUCGGAUUGUUUGGGAAUGCAGUCCAAAAUGGGUGGUAAAUUUCAUCUAAAGCUAAAUAUUGGCGAGAGACCGAUAGCGAACAAGUACCGUGAGGGAAAGAUGAAAAGAACUUUGAAAAGAGAGUUAAACAGUACGUGAAAUUGUCAAAAGGGAAGCGUUUGACACCAGUGUUGUUUUUCUGAAAAUCAAUUAAAGAACUGUUUAUGCUAAGUUGUUUAGACUUUAUCAGCUAACUGUUUAGUUUUGAGCUUUUCUUUGAUGCACUUUUCAGUUAACAAGUCAACAUCAAUUUCUUUUGCUGUAAAAAAGCUUGAGGAAGGUGGCUUGAGAUUCGUCUUAAGUGUUUAUAGCCUCUUGCCUAUGCAGUCGGAGAGAUUGAGGUCUGCAGCGUAGAUCCUUCGGGGCUAAAUGCAUUUGUGCUAAGUUAUAGCAUUUUAUAGACAACUUGUUGACUAUGAUUUGUCUUGUAGCUUACUCGCUUAUGUUAUUUUACCUACGCUUAGGAUGUUGAGCGCAUGUCUCUCUCU
rnacentral:rRNA from 1 species